rnacentral:sRNA from 1 species
CGAGGCCCUCAACACACAUCUGCGGCACCCGGCCAUCAGGGUCCUGCGGGCCUUCCGAGUGCCCAGCGACUUCCACGCUCGUUACGCAGCCACGUCCCGGACCUACCUGUACCGCCUGGCCACUGGCUGUCACCGGCGUGAUGAGCUGCCGGUGUUUGAACGCAACCUAUGCUGGACUCUCCCGGCAGAGUGAGUGUGGCCCUGACAGCGGGGAAGGGGCGGGCAGGCCGGCCCCACCCUCCUGACGGUCACCCUGGUCCCUGAAGCUGCCUGGAUGUGGUCGCCAUGCAGGAAGCCGCCCAGCACCUCCUCGGCACACAUGACUUCAGCGCCUUCCAGUCCGCUGGCAGCCCGGUGCCGAGCCCCGUGCGAACGCUGCGCCGGGUCUCCGUUUCCCCAGGCUGGGGAGCAGAGAACAGGGAAGGCUGCUUGUCUCUGAAAAACCCCUGCCAUGCCUGAUGGAAGAAUGUUGGCAGCUACUGGAAAGGUCUCACUGGUGCCAGUGGUUCUGGUGGGGUGGUUUCUGCUGCCCCCAGCACUGUCCCGAGGGCCGCCCACCAGGUGGCAGCUUCUGACCAGAACCUCCCCUAUUGGGGUGAGCCCUGAAGGGAGGAAGAACUUCUGCCAGCCCCAGACUUCCGUGGCAGAGCAGCAGGUACAGGACUGGGGGUCUCUGGCACCCGCACCAGCCACGUUCCCAGACCCUGCACCAGAACCCUAGGUGAGGGCCCAGGGCAAGCCCCUCUGGGAUGGCCAGGCUACCUGCCCAGCCUCCAGAGUCCUGCUGCCUCCUUGCCCAAGCAUUGCUUCUCUGGUUUUAAGCCCCUCCAAUGGGCCUCACUGGGGGCAGGAGAUCAGCCAGGGUCCCUGGUGGCCAAGCUAGUGAGAACCAGGCUCGUCUUGAGGCCCACCCUGUCACUCUCCCAUCCAAGGCCACACAGUAGGCUGAGGAUGGCAGACACUGCCCCACAGACACCUACAGGUACGUGUUUUUCCAGGAAGCUGCGGUUCUGGAACCUGGAGUUUGAGAGCCAGUCCUUCCUGUAUAGACAGGUAGGCUCUGUUCUGGGGCCGUCCCCAGGGGGUGGGGCUGAGGGUGGGCAGGCCCCUGUGCAGUCUUGGCUCUGGGUCGUGGGCAGCUCUGGGUCACAGGUACGGAGGAUGACGGCUGUGCUGGUGGGUCAUGGGCGGCUCUGGGUCACGGGCGGCUCUGGGUCACAGGUGGCUCUGGGUCACAGGUACGGAGGAUGACGGCUGUGCUGGUGGCCGUGGGGCUGGGGGCUUUGGCACCUGCCCACGUGAAGACGAUUCUGGAGAGCCAAGAUCCCCUGGGCAAGCAUCAGACACGUGUAGCCCCAGCCCAUGGCUUAUUCCUCAAGUCAGUGCUGUAUGGGAACCUCGGUGCUGCCUCCUGCACCCUGCAGGGGCCACAGUUCGGGAGCCACGGAUGACCCUGGACACUCAAGCCAAAGUUAGGCCACACCAGGCCCAACCUUGUGCUGGUCAAGCCAGGGCAGUCACAGCUGCUUGGGGCCCACAGCACUGCUGCCUGGUCUCCACAGUAGCCUCCCUGCCCGGGUCCCAGCACCCUGGAUGCCCAUCUCUGUCCCAGGCGGGAUGGGGCACAGUGCAGGACACAGCCAUGUACACCAAGAAGAGAGUACCAAGUAGUCUUUUGUUCAGGUUUUACUGGAAACUGUUGUCUAGGACCACCUGUCCUAACCAGGAAUAAAGGCAAGACAGCCUGG